ensembl:lncRNA
UUUUUGUUUUUUUCUUUUUUUUCUUUUUAGGGCCACACCUGCAGCAUACAAAAUCUCCUCGGCCAGGGGUCAAAUCUGAGCUGAAGUUGCCAGCCUACACCCAUAGCCACGGCAACACCAGAUCUGAGCCUCAUCUGCAGCAACAUCAGAUCCUUAACUCACGGAGCGAGGCCAGGGAUCAAACUCGCAUCCUCACAGAGACAAGGUGGGGUCCUUACCUGCUGAGCCACAAUGAGAACUUCCCACGCUUACAUUUGACACCAGCUGCAAGUUUCGGGGUCCUUCAGACCAUUCUCAGGUUUGACAACCCAUUAGAAAGACUCAAAGAACUCACUGAAAGCUGUUAUGUGCAUGUGGACAGUUACAAUUUACUACAGGAAAGGGAGAGAGAUUAAAAUCCACCCAGGGACGAAACACAGGGGACAGAGUGCAGGAAAGUGCCAAGCGUGGAGUUUCCAGUUGUCCUCUCCCAGGGGAACUGAAACAGAGCAGGGCCCUGUGGGGCUCCCGGGCAGAAAAGCCUUUGUGUGUCCCUCAUUUCUUGUUUUUAGUAAAUAGGCCUCAUUCACCCUCCGUGACCUUCCCUGAGUUCCAAAGGGCAGGUUCAAACAAUGGCUUGUUGGGGAAGGGAGAGGAUGCUGAGAAGAGAGAGAGGAACAGUCAAGGAACAAUAGCACAGCUUUGGGGAAGGGUCCCGGUUCCUCCUCAAGGAAGACACAUAACAACAUUUUUGAGUUCUUCUGCAGAACUACCCUCCCCCACCCCAAAUGUAACAUGUUAACUAGCUGAUGAAGCUUUCUUCAUACCAAAAAGAAGGAGUCCGGGGGCCGCUAAACACUAACUCUGGGGACCUCCAUAGGCCGCAGGUUCAGCCCAAAAAAGACACACACAAAAAAAAGAAAAAAGAUUUUGCUACAGUCCUUGGCUAACAUUUUGAGAAUUUGCUCUGUGCUAGGUACUGCAAUUUUUUUGGCGGAGGCGGGGAGGCUGCACCUGUGGCAUAUGAAAGUUCCCAGGCCAGGGAUCAAACCCUUGGGUCACCAUGCAGUGACCCAAGCCACUGCAGUGACAACACUCCAUCUUUAACCCUAGGUACUGCAAUCUUAAGUUUCACAGUCUUAUAAGCAGUAUUCAUAUUCUAAUUUUAUAGAUGAGGAAACUGAGGCUCAGAGAUGUUAAGCCAUUUGACACGUCACAUCUAGGGAGUACGAGGCAGAGCCAAUGCACAAAUCCAAGGGUGACUCUUCUCCUAUUAAGUUGUAAUCUCAAAAAAAUGGGCGGUAUGUGUCUGUCUUACAAGCAUAAUUAUUUAUAAUCAUGCUCAGUCCCUUCUCCUACACGCCUAAAUUUAUAUAAUGUCUCCUUCAUCUAGACACAAUUCACUUCUGAAGAUUUUUAUUCUAUUUAAUUCUGAGCACUUGACUUUCUUAGCAGUGCCUUCCAUAUUGUACGGCACUGUCUGUGACAAUUUGCAGAGCUGAGAGAAGUUCUCAUCACAAAAAUUCAAGGUUACAUAGCAUUACCCCUCCUCUAAGUGUAAAAACCUCAGAUACGCUUAAUUUUUGCUCUCCUUGGCUACUACAGUCUACUGACUGAUGUUACACUCGGGACGACGUGGAGACCUCCGUGACACACCCUUAGCUCUUUCCUGUAUCACCCAUCAUUUCUCUUUCUCUGCAAAAAGCACCUUGCAGGUGGUUCCCCCAUCUCCCCUUGGCACAGUUGAUGCCACCACAUUUCCCCAUCUAACUAUGCCUUUCCCUGUACGACUUUCACUGAAAUCAUAGAAUAACCACAGGACUCGGUGAAGCACUUCUAUUACCUGGUCCCUCGCCCCACAGUUUAGUUUCAAUGAGAAUCAUUAUUAGCAUCAAUGUUCAGAGACAAAACCCCAGGAAAGACCUUGAAAAACAUGUUGCCCUCGCCUUUCUAUUUCUACCGUCUCCAAAACAAAGCCAUCCUUGCAGCACAUCUUGAGGGCAAACAGGCUUCCUUAUUUCCGGUCAUUUCACACACAAUACAUCAUCAUUGGCUCUCCACGAAAGGAACUAAAAAGGUCUCCAAAAUUAUUUAUCUCGGUACCUUCCCUACCUUCCUGUUCAGCUGUGCUCUCUUCCUUGCCUCUUCCCUGUUUGGUAUUUUCCUUUAUCAGGCCCUUCUGUCAUCCCCACCUUCAUUCUCUUAUUACAGCCAGGAUAACACUGGGGGGCGGGGGGGGUGGCUUUUAAUGUUUUCCACUGUCCCUCCACUUAGAGUUUCCAAAUGCAUCUGAGAAGAGACGUUCUUGGUGUUCGUAUCUGGAGCUGUAGAUAUGGUCAGCGUUCAGAACAUGUCUCCCAAUUUUGAUAUAUCUGCUCCUGUUGCACUCACUUUACAGUGAUUUCUUCACCGAGUUCUCUAUCACUUGUAAAUGCACUCGUUUGUUUGUUUUCUCUGGUGACAAAUAAGACGAUGCUAUGUUGGUUCUGCAUCAUGAUCAUAUCCUGACUCUACUUCUCUGGACUAACGUAACACCUGGUGUAACUGGUUCUUCUCUUUCUUUUUUUAAGCAAAUGCUAUUUACACACCUAGGUAAAAUUUGCUUUAAUUUAUAACACUAAGUUAUCCCUUUGACAAAGGUUUAAAGAAGAAAAAGAAGUCAACUUCUCAAGGUCACAGUCAGAAAAUGAAAGGCAAGCCUUGCAAAUAAAGUUCUUUACUUAGAGAAUUACAUUACUUCUAAGUUCCAAUAUAAUGCUAUUAUUUAUGAAGAUAGCAUUAAUAUAACAUUAUAAUGUUAAUUAUAACAAAGUCAAUAUAUUGUAUCAAUAUGGUAUAUUACACAUUAAUACACCAUAUUAAUACAAUACAGUAUAUUAUAAUAGUCUAUUAUACAUUAAUAUACUAUAUUAGUGAUAUACUAAAUGUUAGUUUUAAAACACAGCAUAGUUAUUUAAAAAUCAAAUCACCAAAACAUGAUUUUUAUAAGGAUUUAACCAAGGAAGAUGCUAUUUUUGCAAAAUGCUUUAUUGCAACUCAGCUAUCAUAAUCUUUCCUUUUAUAUAAACUUUCCAAAAAUUAUUUUUGCCUUGGAACUUUUUGAUGAGACAAACAUAGGUUUUCUCUGGUGACAAAUAAAAUGAUGCUAUGUUGGUCCUUCAUCACAAUCAUAUCAUCAUAAAAGUGUUGGCACAAUUAAGGUUUUCAGCAGAAGUCAAUUUAUAAUGAAUAUUCAUGUGAUUUUUGAUAAAUUGCUGAAACACUUCCUAUGAGUAGUAGAUUUAAUUCAUAGGUAAAUUCAUUCAAAGCAUGUAAUUUUAACUUUCAGGACUUCGACUUACAUUGCAGUUAAAAUGGAAUAUUUAAGCCAAUCUUUCUUAACAUUAUAAAUAGAAUCACUUACAUCAACAAGCAGUUCCUAUGUUAAUUCUAGCACUACCAACUUCCGCUUCAUUUAAAUAUAUUUAAGAAGUAUUUCACUGUAGAACUUUUAAUAGGAUGAUAACGAUAAUUUCUUGUGAAAGCGAAUUUAAAAUUAAAUAUGAAAAUUCCAUUCUGAAUUUUGAAGGAUCUUAACUUCUGGGUAGAUCCCCUGAUAUUUUUCCCCACAAGAUGUAUCUGAAGAAGUAACUGAGGCUUCCUUUUUGCAUCAUUCAGGAGGUUAAGUUACGGUAACAAGUAACUCCCAAAUCUCAGUGACUGCAGCCUAACAUGGUUUGUUUUUCAGCUUUAUUAUGUUCACUGAGGGGCACGAUAUGGGACUCAGCUCAUCGUAAUCACCCUAGGUCUCAUCUCACCACGACUGGCCCCAGUAUCUGAAAAUACUGCCUGACCAACAUUCACCUAUCCUUCCCAACCUCCAAGAGAAUUCAAAUUUUUUUUUGAAUCAUUUUAUUUUCUUUAUUCUUUCUCAUUCUUAAUCUCAUAGUUCCGUCAACUCCCAACUUAGAAUUUGUUGAUUUAUUUGUGAUCUCUCCUUUUUGAAGUUUCCAAAUGCUGUUGAUAAUAGAGGCACACCACAACUUUGUCUGAAACUGGGAGGAUACAGAAACUUCUGAAAUGUGCUGCAAACACCUAUGCUGACUCCUAGAAUGGUGUAUGUCACUUCUGCCCAUAGCUCAUUGGCUAUAACUAGUUAUUUGACUGUACCCAACAUCAGUGAGCUAGGAAAUACAAUACUACUUUACGCCUGGAAUGCAGAGAGACAGAAAUAUUUAGUGAAUGGAAUUUAUACCAGACAGUCUACUUUCUGCCCAACUACUUGGUUAUUUUCACUUCCAUGUCAACAGACAACUUCCCCGCUCCCAAAAGGAAGUAAAUCCUAAGUCCCAUAGAGUCAAGCCCUCAACUUCAAAGUCUAGGAUCUCUUAGUGAAGAGUUCCGAAGAGAUGAGUUCUCUAAGAAACUACAGCAAGUCUAAUAGGACCCUCCCCUUAUUCACAGAUAGAUCAGAAAAUUGCGUGCUCCACCUCCAAAAAAACCCGUAAGAAUUGAGCAAAAACCGUCAAAAUUAGCAUCCCCAUUCACAAAUGGCAAGAAAGGAAAGUGCACAGAUAUCACUGGUCCACAGCAAUUCUGAAAUCCCAUGGGCGUUGCAGCUGUAAGUGCUUGUGGCAAAUGUAUCUCAAUCAGGCCCAGAUUCAUGCUCAGGAAGUGUUAGUCUUUGGCCUCUUUGAUCCUUGGCUCUGCCUCCUAACCUCCUCUCUUCCGUGUCUCCUGUGACCCUGGGACAUCUGAAGGAGACAGGAAGCCUCUCGUGUCCUCAGGGGUUCAUCAAAUCUUUCAACCUGCUUCUUCUGUGUAGGAAGUUGAAGAACCAAGAGUUAAAUUUCAAAUCAUCACAGGUGUUUGUAGCCCAGGUUCAUGGUUCCUUUUGCAGUGUAACUCUCUCAGGAAGCUAGCUUCAAAUCUAUCUGACUCCAGCCAGUUCCAGGUGCCCUGAGCUACAUUCUGUGUUUAUUUUGAAAUAUGCCUCUCUCUUGACUCAGCUAUAUAUGUACCUUGUUCCUCUUAGGCUUCAUGGGAGAGUCAUACCUGGAAUUCUUCUCCCUGAGCCAUUCUGUCCAGUCAAAUGGAUAUGCAUCCUAUCACCUAAAUCCAUCAAGAGGUUUUACAAUGCAUGUAGCGGCCAAACCCCUGAUUGCAUUCUUGCUGCAUGGCUGAGUUUUUAAUCAACCUCUGUUGUUCAGAAAACUUCUCAAUAUUAUCUUCUACUGGUCAGCAUUAAGAAGCAACUGUUUUUUCCAACUGUACAAUUUCUCACAUUUUUAGAUUCUCUAGGCUCUUUCAUUUCUGCUGACAAGUUGGCCAAUUAUUUCUGAAACUAUCUCUUCAUCUUUGCAUUUCCCAAAUGCAGCCAACAGUAACCAACAUUCUAUUUUCCAAACACUUCCCCUAAUGUUACAGGGUCAGAAGAUACAUUAUCUGCAUUGUGAAUAAUCACAUUUGACAGAUUUAUCAUGUGUCUCUCCACUGUAUAACACAGGUGAACCGCCUUCUAUAGUCUCUAGUAAGUUUCCUCGCCACCUAAACCAACUUCUUAAAACAGUGUAAAAUACAUUGUUUGGUUAUUAUGGCAUUUGGCUUCCAGUGCCAAGUUUGUAUCAGGUAGGAAAGGCUACUUUAGGCAGUGGGUAAAGAAAGAGAAGAGAAAGGGAGGGUGGGAAUGCAGGAGGGGAGCAUCAGGCCAGAAUAUGGAAGAGGAGGAAACUCCACCUCCCCGAGGUUAAAGAACUUGCCUUCGACCAUACGAGGUGCUGGUAAUACUGCCAGCAUGUAACCUAGUUUGGCAGUGCUCUGUCCGCUGCAUCAAGCGUUCUUCUGCAUAUGCGGACUGCACAGAAUUGCCAGAGUGCUGGAAAUCUGAAGUUGAAUUUUUUUAUGCUUGUUGAGUAAUCAUCAUCUAGUUUUGUUUAUUUAUUUACUUAUCAAAUAGUUACUGUGUCACCUACCACAUUUCCAUCAUCAGCUUUGAAGUGAAAACUAUACGAAGACACAAACCAGUAUUUUUUUCAUUAAGCCUAUAGAUAAAUGUGCAGAAGACUCUGCUGAAGUUUCAUACUAAAUAAUAAAGACAAUGACACAAGGACUUAUUAUCUCCCCAACACUGUGCUCUCCUUUCUUCUUAGUAAGUGAGCGCCUCUGUUCUGCAGCGACACGGCUCUGUUGUGCCUGUGAGAUGCAAGUGGAAGCCUUGCCAUCUCUUGUUUAACAGUCAGACGUGACUCUAACGCAUCUCUCUUCUGAUGCCCCAACAGCACCGUCACAGAAAAUAACGCCUGUGAAGAUGAUCUGCCCAAUAUCCUUGCCUCACAAUCUCUUUCUUGGACUUAUCAGCCCCUAAGAUCUGUGUUUUCUACCUGACCUCACCUUAUCACCCACAUCCCUGGCUUGAUUCAUAGCCUGAGUUUAUUUCUUAAGCUUUUUUCCCCACUUACUGUCCAAAUGUGACACUCCUUCUUCCCUGUACCUUUCUCUCGGCUAACGACUUGCCAUGCUCACUGGGCCUUCCUGCUCCUGUCCUCUCUGCCUGGCUGCUCUUCUGCAGGCAUGUGCAUGGCUGGUUUCUUCUCAGUUUAAAGACCCCUUUUUAAGAAAGGCAAGUGCCCUAUCUCCCUGAUUAAAUUUCUUAACAAUUUUCAUUAUAUAAAAUCAUUUAUGUGUUUACUCCCCAUUUCUCUCUUUUUUUGGGGGGGGGAGGUCUGUCAUCUUUUUUUCUAUUGAUAUAUGCCAAGGACGGAGAGUGGUGUCUUAUAAAUAUAAAUUUAAUAAAUACUUAUCAAACAUACAUUAUUCUAUGGUUUCAUAAUGUAUCUAUAGAAAAAAGCCCUGCCAGAAAGUUGUUAAUUAAAGAACUAGUAAUGGGCCAAAGAGGUGAGAAAGAGGGAGGCAUUCCUUUUUGAUAUAUUAUAGCAUAAUUUCAUAAAAAUUUAAAGACAAAAGUUUUAAUAAUGUUAAAAAGUUUGAAAGCCUUACAGGGAAGGUAUUUAUUAAAGAACAAUGUCUUUACUAACAUAACUUUUUACUUAUUACCUAACGAUUUGUAUUUUCAUUAAAUUUGAGAGAGUAUUUUGUACUGCAUAAUUUAUGUCACAUAUACAAAUUCAUUCUUUUUUUCUUUUUAGGGCCACACCUGCAGCACACAUGGAAAUUCCCAGGCCAGGGGUUGAAUUAGAGCUGCAGCUGAGACCUACGCCACAGCCACAGUAACACUGGAUUCAAGCCACAUCUGCG